CCUUCGAUAGCUCAGUUGGUAGAGCGGAGGACUGUAGGGGCCCUAGUGAUCCUUAGGUCGCUGGUUCGAAUCCGGCUCGAAGGA
rnacentral:tRNA from 1 species